CGGGGCUCGGGUCUUUGCUGUAGUUGGCCUUUUGCCUUGCUGCUCCUUUGGCUGCCUGGGGAGCGUGGCCCCCUGUAACGGAGGGCGAGAGCCACCUCUCCGCACCUGAGUGGGAAAUGGAGCUCGCCGGACCCCAAGGCCACCCUGUAAGCAGGGUAGUGCCGUUUCCCUGCCCCUCUUCCUCCCCCGGCCCCUCGGCAUCGUUGCCUGAUGGUGGCUUGUCAACGCGACGGCCCCGUACUCGGGGUGUGCGUCACGGCAUUUGGCCGUUGGCUUUACCUGAGAAGCCCCUUGGCACGUUGAGGUCUGUGGCCUCCGUGCAGCCUAGGGACAGGUCACAGGCUCUUGUCUGUUGCCCGUGGUUGUGGGUUUAUUCCCAGGUGUUGGCUGUGCUGCGUUGUCCUUCCCUUCUGGAAAGUCGUGCCUGUGUGUGCGUGUUCCCCUUCCUUUCCUUGUUGUGUUUGUGGAGUGGUUGAGCGGCUGUGCUUUCCCUUUAGGCCUCCACAAAGAUGGCUGCAGCUUAGCUUUGACUUCCCAGGGGGGAAUGGAGGACUUUGGUGCAUGCCGCAAAAGGGGUGUUCCCUCUUAGUCCUGCGAGCGCAGCGAGUGUCCUGUCUUCCUACUAUUUCCUUAGUGCAGAUCAGAGCCACACGGUAGUUCUGUGGCCAAGGCCUCCCUGUAGCCAGGGCUUGGGCCUGUCCUUGCGUGGCCGCCUGUCCUGCUGGCGGCGGUGACAGCCCCGUACUCGGGGUGUGUGUCCCAAGCUUCGGAGCCCUCUGUCCCUGAGCAGCCCGCCCGCCCUGUAAUCAGGUGUGGGGAGGCUGCAGCGUUGCAGCCGGCUGCUUUAGCCAUCCAGCUGGUGGGAGUGACCCCUCCCUGUCCCGUCAGAGGGUGCAGGUUGAGGUGCUGUUUGUGU
rnacentral:lncRNA from 1 species